rnacentral:rRNA from 1 species
ACCUGGGCUACACACGUGCUACAAUGGGCGGUACAAAGGGUCGCGAACCCGCAGGGGGAGCCAAUCCCAAAAAGCCGCUCUCAGUUCGGAUUGCAGGCUGCAACUCGCCUGCAUGAAGCCGGAAUCGCUAGUAAUCGCGGACCAGCAUGCCGCGGUGAAUACGUUCCCGGGCCUU